rnacentral:rRNA from 1 species
UACAGAGGGUGCGAGCGUUAAUCGGAAUAACUGGGCGUAAAGGGCGCGUAGGCGGUGAGAUAAGCUGUUUGUGAAAGAAUUGGGCUUAACCUAAUAAAGCAAGCAGGACUGUUAAACUAGAGGGAAGGAGAGGUGAGAAGAAUUUCCGGAGUAGCGGUGAAAUGCGUAGAGAUCGGGAGGAACAUCAGUGGCGAAGGCGGCCAUCUGGGACAACACUGACGCUGAAGCACGAAAGCGUGGGGAGCAAACAGG